ensembl:lncRNA
UUCAGUUAGUUUCAGUGUGUAGUCACUGAUAGUUCAGUUCAGUGUGUAGUUCACUGAUAGUUCAGUUCAGUGUGUUAUUCACUGGUAGUUCGGUGUGUAGUUCACUGGUAGUUCGGUGUGUAGUUCACUGGUAGUUCGGUUUUGGAUGUAGUUCACUGGUAGUUCGGUGUGUAGUUCACUGGUAGUUCGGUGUGUAGUUCACUGGUAGUUCGGUGUGUAGUUCACUGGUAGUUCGGUUCAGUGAGUUGCGCUGUGUGUGUGUGUGUGUUGAGCUGUGUGUGUGUGUGUUGCACUGUGUGUGUGUGUUGCACUGUGUGUGUGUGUUGAGCUGUGUGUGUGUGUGUUGCACUGUGUGUGUGUGUUGAGCUGUGUGUGUGUUGCACUGUGUGUGUUGAGCUAAUCAGUCACAGGUGUUUGUGUGUUUCCAGGCAGUGUGUUAAUUAUUUUCUAUUCUAUUAAUAGCCUGUAAUCUGCACCCUGUUCAGAGUGAGGAACGUACUUUCACUCACACUCUCAGCUCAACACACACACACUCUCUCACACACACACACACACACACACACACACUCUCUCAGCUCAACACGCACACACACACACUCAGCUCAACUCGCGCACACACACACACACUCAGCUCAACUCGCACACACUCAGCUCAAAACACACUCUCUCGCACACACACACACACACACACACACACUCUCUCUCAGCUCAACACGUACACACACCACCACACUCUCAGCUCAACAUGCACACACACAAACACACACACUCUGCUCAACUCGCGCACACACACACACACACUCAGCUCAACAUGCACACACUUUAAUGUACUGCACUCAGGCUGCCGAAUAUUGUAAAAGCCAAUUAUUUGUUUAAUUCUCUGAACUCAUCUCUCAUAUAUAAGAAAGAUAAUACA